AGUGACUGCCAGCCUGCCACUUUGAAGCCUUUGGAAACAGUGAAUCUAAUUCAGGAGACUCAAAGGGAAAAAUCACAGCGGCUCUAGAUAACUAAGACAGAGAUCACCAAGAAUAUGUGGAAGAAUCCCUGAAUAAACAAAAGCAGUCCUUAUGAAGUUGAAACACCAGGUCUGAAUCACCAUAUGAGAGAUGUCAUUUAUUACUUGGUGGCAGCUUUUACACUGUAAGCUCCUUGAAGGCAAGGACAAUUUUCAUUCGCAUUUUUACCUGAUCCUUAUUAGCCAAAAAAAAAAACCAAACCCACUGCCAUCGAGUCGAUUCCGACUCAUAGUGACCCUAUAGAACAGAGUAGAACUGCCCCAUAGAGUUUCCAAGGAGCAUCUGGCGGAUUUGAACUGCUGACCUCUUGAUUCACAGCCGUAGCACUUAACCACUAUACCACUAGGGUUUCCAAUCCUUAUCAGGGGGAAAUAAUUUUAAGCAGAUUUGGUAAAGGCAAGAAUACUUAAAAGGCAUUAAAAUGCCACUUUUGAGUAAACUACGUUAUUUUUGUUGUUAACUAGCGUCCAGUUGGCACUGAUUUUUGGUGACCUUAUGUGUAACAGAACAAAAUGUUGCCUGGUGCUGUGCCCUCUCCAUGAUCUUUGAUACAUUUGAGCCCGUUGUUGCGGCUGUUGUGUUACUCAGUCUCAUUGAGGGUUUUCCUUAUUUUCACUGCCUGUAUUAUUACUUUCAAGAGAUAUGAAAUAGUGCAACCUUCAUUACUGAUAAUAAACCUAACCACUUGAUUUUUAGAUAUAUUAGAUGCUGGCUAUAUCCUGAGCUAGCUAUCUGAAUAAAGACCCAAAUAAACUCAACAUUAUUAUUUACAUCCUUUUUUGAAGGCUGUAAACUCCAUGUCCUGAAUACUCAGAUAGAGGAAACAUAUCUGACAGGGAAUUUUCUCUUAAAAAUUAACUUUCUUUAAAAUAUUGACUUUCUAUACAUUUUUCUAUGUAUCUUACAUUUAAAAAUCUUUAAAAGAAUGUUGAACUCUUAUUCUGUCUCCAAUUCUGUAUUUGUCUUUAUAAAAUUAUAUGACCAUGUCUUGGAAGAAGUACAGCCAGAAUGCUUUUUAGAAGUAAGGAUGGGGAGACUUCGACUUGUAUACUUUGGACAUGUUAUAAGGAGGGACCAGUUCUUAGAGAAGGACAUCAUGCUUAGUAGACAGUCAGCGAAAAAGAGGAAGACCUUCAAUGAGAUGAAUUGACACAGUGGCUGCAACAGUGGGCACAAACAUAACAACAGUCAGGGUGGUGCAUGACCAGGCAGUGCUUCAUCCUGUUGUACAUAGCGUUGCUGAGUAAGAAUGGACUCCACAGCACCUAACAGCAACUACCUUCAAAAUCAGAAUCUGCAUUUUAGGAAGUUCCCCAGGUGAUUCAUAUGUCCUUUAAGGUUAGAAGCAUUGCUGUAGGCUAUUUUGUUCCCAGCUCUCAUUGGAGCUUCAUAGACAGCUCACUUUGUUCCUGGUAGUAAUUGCUUUUGCUUUAGGUUGUGUUUUCCUAUUUGCUAGUAAAAACUGCCCUUCCUUUGGAAAAGCUUGCAAUUCUGUGUAUGUCUGGUUCAAAACAAGAAUGGAGUCUAUUUUAUAAGAGAGUUGUCUUUUAAAUAUUGUUCCUGAGUUGAGUUAAAAGCUGUUGUAUUGAUUGUGGCAUUAUCAAGCAAGCUGAAUUAUUAAUUUGACUUCAUUUGGCAGAUGGAAACAUUUUAAAAUCAGUGAUCUUAUGAAACAUGGUGCCCUCUGUCAUAGAGCUGUUAUCUUUCUCUUAAAGAUAUGCUAGUGCUAAUGAAUAUUUUAUAAUGUAUUUGCCUGGAUAUAAAUAAGUAACUAUCAUCUUAAAAAACAAGCAUUAACUUCAUCUGAAAAUGCUUACUUUGCAAAUUCAUUGUUUCCAGGAGAGGAAUCUGCAUUUAAGAUGAGAAACAUGUUGAAAGUUCUACUUGAGAUUACAGUUGUUUGCUGAAUAUAAGAAAAUAUAUUUUCAGUUGUUACCUCUUCAAAUCGUAGCUAAAAUCACCAAAGUAUUGUUCAUCUGUCAAACUAUACAGCUAUCCCUUACUUUGUAAACUCAGGAACCAAAUAGAUUUGAACACACCUUUUUGAGAUAGGGCUGAUAACACUUUCUCUGUAUAUCCUUGCCUCUUACUAUCUGAACUCAGGAACCAAGCAGAUUUGAAUAGCAAAGUCAUCUUGUAUUCUAUUUCCACAUUAAUUAUCAACACAGUGAAUACACGUGGAAAUAUAUAGCAACAUUUUCCAGUUUCCUUUCCACAAAAUGGGAACCAGUGU